rnacentral:rRNA from 1 species
AAUGGGCGAAAGCCUGACGGAGCAACGCCGCGUGAGGGAUGAAGGCCUCUGGGCUGUAAACCUCUUUUCUCAAGGAAGAAGACAUGACGGUACUUGAGGAAUAAGCCACGGCUAAUUCCGUGCCAGCAGCCGCGGUAAUACGGGAGUGGCAAGCGUUAUCCGGAAUUAUUGGGCGUAAAGCGUCCGCAGGCGGCCUUGUAAGUCUGUCGUUAAAACGUGGAGCUCAACUCCAUUUCAGCGAUGGAAACUACAAGGCUUGAGUGUGGUAGGGGCAGAGGGAAUUCCCGGUGUAGCGGUGAAAUGCGUAGAUAUCGGGAAGAACACCAGUGGCGAAGGCGCUCUGCUGGGCCAUAACUGACGCUCAUGGACGAAAGCCAGGGGAGCGAAAGGGAUUAGAUACCCC